rnacentral:lncRNA from 1 species
GACGUCAGCUCUCCAAGAUGGUGGCCGCUGGCUUCCUCGGUGGGCUGUCCAGUGUGGAGGACAGAACUGGACAGCUUCCUUCCCGUCUCAAACCCAGAACUCAGCCUGGAGCACAGUGAGGGCACAGCCGGCAGGAGCCCACAGAAUCUGCAGCACCGUUCCUCUGCGUUGCUGGCUCGCCGUUUCUAGGGAGGCUGUUUCCCGGCGCGCCGCAGUCUCUAGCAGCGGGGCGGGCUGCCGAUCAAACAGCCUGAAUCUCCUGGCAUACGGUUCACUCGUGGUUGAGCCCCAGUAACCGAUCCUCGGGCGAUGGAAAUCCUUCCUCUAGGUUUCGGUGCACCCCAAUUUUGCUGGAAAUUCCUAAUAAGAUAGCUUUUGGCCGUUCUAACUCGUUAUUCACCUGCGCAGUGACGCGGUACACGGGGGUGAUGCACUCUAUUCGCCACCGUCUUCCCCGUUUGUAAUCCUCUUCUAAAAUAUUUUGUCAUUAAUUCUGGUGGACGUCUAAUCAGAAGCACUCAUAGAAUUCAUUCCUAAAAGGGUUUCUCUACAGGCCAAAAGAAAGCAUGUUCCUCUGCACAGCUGUGCGGUUCAUAUAAGGAUGCUUCCUUCUGUCAGGCCCUGGGCACACAGUAGAUGAGUCCUUUGUGACCAUAACAGAAACAUGUUCCCUGGUGUCAGAAAAGUCAGUCCAGAAGAACAUGCCCUUACUUUCUGGCUGGCCUGUAUACUUCACCCUAAUCACUGCUCACAUUGGUCUAAAAACUUGCUUUGGCUCUUCUAAACUGUCACUGCCCUGGUACUUUUUUUUCAUUGAAUUGGAGUCAGGACACCUGGGUCUCAUCUGUGUUCUGCAACUAAUUUACCCUGUAAAUAUGAACAAGUCAUGUCUGUUUCUUCAUUUUAAAAAUGAAGAGCUAUAACAUUCCUUUGGGUCUUAUCCACACCCAACAUUUGGCAGGGAUAUCAGAUCAAGGUCCUUUAUUGUGUUGGCUUCCUGCUACUAUGACAAAAUACCUGAGAGAAUCCACUUAUAUAGAAGAAAGGUUUAUUUUGGCUCACAGAUUCAGAUGUUUCAGUCCAGGAUUUGUUGGCUCCUGUGGUGAGGCAGAAAAUCAAAGGAGGGAGUGCCUGGUGGAGUAAAGCUGCCCCUCUCGAGGAAGCCAGGAAGUGAACAGAGGGAAAGGAGCUAGGGUCCCAAUAUUCUCUUCAAGGCAUGACCCCAAUCAAUGUUUCUUCUACUAAGCCCCAUCUCCUAAAGUUUCUGCCUCCUCCCAAUAGCGCCAUGGGCUAGGGACCAAGCCUCCAGCACAUGGACUCCUGAGGAACAUUCAAGCUACAUCCAACUACAGCACUUAGAAAUGAUUGUGUUCAUUCUUACAACUUCUUAAUGGAAUGAAUAAGUUAUUAAUAAACGUUGCCCAACUUCAGGAAUUCCUUUUGUGAGAUACUAAUAUAUAAUCUCUCUCUCUCUUUCAUUUUUUUCCUGGUCCUUCCUCCCCAGGUGGAGGACUGGAAAAAGAGGACCAGGUCUUAAGUUGAACACAUCUGUGUGUUUAAAAAACCAUCGAUGACACCAUUCAGUUUUAACAGGAUUCCUUUUUUUUCUUCUCUACAAGAGCCGGAAAUUUCCAUAUGAUAGUUCAUUCAUAACUUCUUAGGACAAUCCCACCAAAUCCCUGCAAACCAGUACUAAGAAAGAACACAGAUCUAGGAAUUGGCUACUGUCCCCUGUUUGUAUGAUCAAUGAAUCAAAGAGAAUUCUGGAAGGGGUUAUUAAUUCAAGCUAGGAAAACGGUGACAGAUGACAGACUGCACAAAAAGAGUAUAAAGAGCAAAUUUCCUGUCUGGGAAAGAGCCUUGUUUUAUAGCUGGAAGAGGUCUUAGGAAUCAACUAGCCUUCCACUAUCUUUUUUUGGAUAUGGAAAUUUAACACUAAAAAUAGGCUGACUCACCCAAGGUCAACAAUAUGGUUGGGUCUUAUUUGGGGGAAUUGUGAAAGUGAC